AGUCAACGCUGGCGGUAGGCCUAACACAUGCAAGUCGAACGGCAGCACAGUAAGAGCUUGCUCUUACGGGUGGCGAGUGGCGGACGGGUGAGGAAUACAUCGGAAUCUACUUUUUCGUGGGGGAUAACGUAGGGAAACUUACGCUAAUACCGCAUACGACCUACGGGUGAAAGCAGGGGAUCUUCGGACCUUGCGCGAUUGAAUGAGCCGAUGUCGGAUUAGCUAGUUGGCGGGGUAAAGGCCCACCAAGGCGACGAUCCGUAGCUGGUCUGAGAGGAUGAUCAGCCACACUGGAACUGGGACACGGUCCAGACUCCUACGGGAGGCAGCAGUGGGGAAUAUUGGACAAUGGGCGCAAGCCUGAUCCAGCCAUACCGCGUGGGUGAAGAAGGCCUUCGGGUUGUAAAGCCCUUUUGUUGGGAAAGAAAAGCAGCAGGUUAAUACCCCGCUGUUCUGACGGUACCCAAAGAAUAAGCACCGGCUAACUUCGUG
rnacentral:rRNA from 1 species